AACCCCUGUGAACAUACCAUUUGUUGCCUCGGCGGUGCCUGCUUCGGCAGCCCGCCAGAGGACCCAAACCCUUGAUUUUAUACAGUAUCUUCUGAGUAAAUGAUUAAAUAAAUCAAAACUUUCAACAACGGAUCUCUUGGUUCUGGCAUCGAUGAAGAACGCAGCGAAAUGCGAUAAGUAAUGUGAAUUGCAGAAUUCAGUGAAUCAUCGAAUCUUUGAACGCACAUUGCGCCCGCCAGUAUUCUGGCGGGCAUGCCUGUUCGAGCGUCAUUUCAACCCUCAAGCCCCCGGGCUUGGUGUUGGAGAUCGGCGUGCCCUCCGGGGCGCGCCGGCUCCCAAAUAUAGUGGCGGUCUCGCUGUAGCUUCCUCUGCGUAGUAGCACACCUCGCACUGGAAAACAGCGUGGCCACGCCGUUAAACCCCCCACUUCUGAAAGGUUGACCUCGGAUCAGGUAGGAAUACCCGCUGAACUUAAGCAUAUCAAUAAG
rnacentral:rRNA from 1 species